GGUUAAGUUAGAAAGGGCGCACGGUGGAUGCCUUGGCACUAGGAGCCGAAGAAGGACGGGACUAACACCGAUAUGCUUUGGGGAGCUGUACGUAAGCGUUGAUCCAGAGAUUUCCGAAUGGGGGAACCCACUAUCUUUAGUCGGAUAGUAUCCUUACGUGAAUACAUAGCGUGAGGAAGGCAGACCCAGGGAACUGAAACAUCUAAGUACCUGGAGGAAGAGAAAGAAAAAUCGAUUUCCUGAGUAGCGGCGAGCGAAACGGAAAGAGCCCAAACCAAGAAGCUUGCUUCUUGGGGUUGUAGGACACUCUAUACGGAGUUACAAAAGAAAGUUAUAAAUGAAGCGGUCUGGAAAGGCCCGCCAAAGACGGUAACAGCCCGGUAGUUGAAAUGGCUUUCCCUCCAGAGUGGAUCCUGAGUACGGCGGAACACGUGAAAUUCCGUCGGAAUCCGGGAGGACCAUCUCCCAAGGCUAAAUACUCCCUAGUGACCGAUAGUGAACCAGUACCGUGAGGGAAAGGUGAAAAGCACCCCGGAAGGGGAGUGAAACAGUUCCUGAAACCGUGUGCCUACAAGUAGUUAGAGCCCGUUAAUGGGUGAUAGCGUGCCUUUUGUAGAAUGAACCGGCGAGUUACGAUUUGUUGCAAGGUUAAGCGGAAAAAGCGGAGCCGUAGCGAAAGCGAGUCUGAAUAGGGCGCAUAAGUAACAGGUCGUAGACCCGAAACCAGGUGAUCUACCCAUGUCCAGGAUGAAGGUAAGGUAAUACUUACUGGAGGUCCGAACCCACGCACGUUGAAAAGUGCGGGGAUGAGGUGUGGGUAGCGGAGAAAUUCCAAUCGAACUUGGAGAUAGC
rnacentral:rRNA from 1 species